rnacentral:lncRNA from 1 species
AGACUGCACAGAUGGAACAUGGAAAGGCUUUUAACAGAAAUGAAUACUUUCAGACUAGGUUUGAAGGACUGAGUAGGAGUAAACUAAAAGAGAAAAAGCAGGACAAAAGAAGCACCACUUUGGAAGCUCAAAGCCGCACUGGAAACACAGUCUUUCAGGAUGUCUGAAAGGGGCAAGUCUGUUUGUGUGGGGUAAGAAAUGCGGGGAGACAAACGGACAGUGGACAGAUUGCAGAGAGCUCUGUGUGCUGAGAGGAGGGUGCAGACCAGAUUUUUAAAUUGAGAAUGCAACAGUGAAGGAUUUCAAGCUUGGAGUGAGAGGGGAGACUACGAGCCUGCAGUGAUAAGGCAAAGCUGAAGAUUUCAGAGCCAAGGCCACACCCUACAGUUGCCAUGGAAUGGGGUGGCACAGUGGGCUUUGGAGAUAUACAGGGAGUCCACGGAGCCUCCCCUGCAAGCAUCAGUACAGAAGUCGAUGAUAAUCUGGAUGCAAGCCCAGGAGUGUGGAGUCCACUGACUCAGAAGACCUGCAUCUAAGGAAUUGGCUGUUCUUAUCCUUAAGAAUGAUGACUGUGUUUCCAAUUCCAGUAGACCCUUUGAUGCGUUCUGAAUAAAUAUUCCUUUUGGAAUUGAAC